rnacentral:rRNA from 1 species
GAUCCUGGCUCAGGAUGAACGCUAGCGGCAGGCUUAACACAUGCAAGUCGAGGGGCAGCAUAAUACAUAGCAAUAUGUAUGGUGGCGACCGGCGGACGGGUGCGUAACGCGUAUACAACCUUCCCUAAACAGGGGGAUAAUCUGGAGAAAUCCGGUCUAAUACCCCAUAAUAUCAGAGGGGGCAUCCUUUUUGGUUAAAAUUUUCGGAGGUGACGGAUGGGUAUGCGUAGCAUUAGCUUGUUGGUGAGGUAACGGCUCACCAAGGCUACGAUGCUUAGGGGGACUGAGAGGUUUUCCCCCCACACUGGUACUGAGACACGGACCAGACUCCUACGGGAGGCAGCAGUGAGGAAUAUUGGUCAAUGGACGGAAGUCUGAACCAGCCAUGCCGCGUGCAGGAUGACGGCUCUACGAGUUGUAAACUGCUUUUGUACGAGGGUAAAUCGGGUUACGCGUAACCUUUUGAAAGUAUCGUACGAAUAAGGAUCGGCUAACUCCGUGCCAGCAGCCGCGGUAAUACGGAGGAUCCGAGCGUUAUCCGGAUUUAUUGGGUUUAAAGGGUGCGCAGGCGGUUUGGUAAGUUAGAGGUGAAAUUUCGAUGCUCAACAUCGAAACUGCCUCUGAUACUGCCGAACUGGAGACCAGUUGCGGAAGGCGGAAUGUGUGGUGUAGCGGUGAAAUGCUUAGAUAUCACACAGAACCCCGAUUGCGAAGGCAGCUUUCCAAGCUGGAUCUGACGUUGAGGCACGAAAGCGUGGGUAGCGAACAGGAUUAGAUACCCUGGUAGUCCACGCUGUAAACGAUGAUUACUCGUUGUCGGCGAUAUACAGUCGGUGACUAAGCGAAAGCGAUAAGUAAUCCACCUGGGGAGUACGUUCGCAAGAAUGAAACUCAAAGGAAUUGACGGGGGCCCGCACAAGCGGAGGAACAUGUGGUUUAAUUCGAUGAUACGCGAGGAACCUUACCCGGGCUUGAAAGUUAAUGACGAUACUGGAAACAGUAUUUCCCUUCGGGGCAUGAAACUAGGUGCUGCAUGGUUGUCGUCAGCUCGUGUCGUGAGAUGUUGGGUUAAGUCCCGCAACGAGCGCAACCCUUAUGUUUAGUUACCAUCAGGUUAAGUUGGGGACUCUAGACAGACUGCCGGUGUAAACCGCGAGGAAGGUGGGGAUGACGUCAAAUCAUCAUGCCCCUUAUGACCUGGGCUACACACGUGCUACAAUGGUCGGUACAGAGGGCCGCUACCCAGUGAUGGGAUGCCAAUCUCGAAAGCCGAUCUCAGUUCGGAUCGCAGGCUGAAACUCGCCUGCGUGAAGUUGGAUUCGCUAGUAAUCGCGCAUCAGCAUGGCGCGGUGAAUACGUUCCCGGGCCUUGUACACACCGCCCGUC